UGGGGAAUAUUGGACAAUGGGCGAAAGCCUGAUCCAGCCAUGCCGCGUGUGUGAAGAAGGCCUUUUGGUUGUAAAGCACUUUAAGUGAGGAGGAGGCUACUUGGAUUAAUACUCUAGGAUAGUGGACGUUACUCGCAGAAUAAGCACCGGCUAACUCUGUGCCAGCAGCCGCGGUAAUACAGAGGGUGCGAGCGUUAAUCGGAUUUACUGGGCGUAAAGCGUGCGUAGGCGGCUUCUUAAGUCGGAUGUGAAAUCCCUGAGCUUAACUUAGGAAUUGCAUUAGAUACUGGGAAGCUAGAGUAUGGGAGAGGAUGGUAGAAUUCCAGGUGUAGCGGUGAAAUGCGUAGAGAUCUGGAGGAAUACCGAUGGCGAAGGCAGCCAUCUGGCCUAAUACUGACGCUGAGGUACGAAAGCAUGGGGAGCAAACAGG
rnacentral:rRNA from 1 species